GGCGAACGCUGGCGGCGUGCUUAACACAUGCAAGUCGAACGGAAAGGCCCUGCUUUUGUGGGGUGCUCGAGUGGCGAACGGGUGAGUAACACGUGAGUAACCUGCCCUUGACUUUGGGAUAACUUCAGGAAACUCGGGCUAAUACCGGAUAGGAGCUCUUGCUGCAUGGUGGGGGUUGGAAAGUUUCGGCGGUUGGGGAUGGACUCGCGGCUUAUCAGCUUGUUGGUGGGGUAGUGGCUUACCAAGGCUUUGACGGGUAGCCGGCCUGAGAGGGUGACCGGCCACAUUGGGACUGAGAUACGGCCCAGACUCCUACGGGAGGCAGCAGUGGGGAAUAUUGCACAAUGGGCGGAAGCCUGAUGCAGCAACGCCGCGUGCGGGAUGACGGCCUUCGGGUUGUAAACCGCUUUCGCCUGUGACGAAGCGUGAGUGACGGUAAUGGGUAAAGAAGCACCGGCUAACUACGUG
rnacentral:rRNA from 1 species